AGUGAACGCUGGCGGUAGGCCUAACACAUGCAAGUCGAACGGCAGCACAGUAAGAGCUUGCUCUUACGGGUGGCGAGUGGCGGACGGGUGAGGAGUACAUCGGAAUCUACUUUUUCGUGGGGGAUAACGUAGGGAAACUUACGCUAAUACCGCAUACGACCUACGGGUGAAAGCAGGGGAUCUUCGGACCUUGCGCGAUUGAAUGAGCCGAUGUCGGAUUAGCUAGUUGGCGGGGUAAAGGCCCACCAAGGCGACGAUCCGUAGCUGGUCUGAGAGGAUGAUCAGCCACACUGGAACUGAGACACGGUCCAGACUCCUACGGGAGGCAGCAGUGGGGAAUAUUGGACAAUGGGCGCAAGCCUGAUCCAGCCAUACCGCGUGGGUGAAGAAGGCCUUCGGGUUGCAAAGCCCUUUUGUUGGGAAAGAAAAGCAGCAGGUUAAUACCCCGCUGUUCUGACGGUACCCAAAGAAUAAGCACCGGCUAACUUCGUG
rnacentral:rRNA from 1 species